rnacentral:lncRNA from 1 species
AGAUAUACCUAGAUGUCUGCUUCUGUGGUGACCCUAAAUUCCAUCAAACUGUCAAUGAAGAUUAAACAGCACAAGCCAAUUUUGUGGGUGACGACUGUCAAAGAAGAAAUCCUGGGGCAGUGGUGGUGGGGAUCUAAAAAUCACACAGCACAAUGGUUGCAAAUCCAGUGACCUACUUAGUGAGGAAAAAGAGAAGGGAGCUACAAGACAUGGGACACCCAAGGCCAGAGUCUCAGGUGACAGCCACACCCCUCCAGUUUGCAUACAUAUUAUUGAUGUUAAUGUUUUCUCUUGUGGCACAUACCAAGGUCAAAUGUUGUAAGUGAAAUGUCUUGCUGAAUUUAUCAUGUAUAUGCAACUCAGCAGAACUAAACUUGAAAAAUG